rnacentral:rRNA from 1 species
AACGAACGCUGGCGGCAGGCUUAACACAUGCAAGUCGAACGCAUGCCUUCGGGCAUGAGUGGCAGACGGGUGGGUAACGCGUGGGAACCUACCCCUUGGUACGGCAUAGCUCCGGGAAACUGGAGAUAAUACCGUAUGUGUCCUGCGGGACAAAGAUUCAUCGGCAAGGGAUGGGCUCGCGUCGGAUUAGCUGGUUGGUGGGGGAACGGCCUACCAAGGCGACGAUCCGUAGCUGGUCUAACAGGAUGAUCAGCCACAUUGGGGCUGAGACACGGCCCAAACUCCUACGGAAGGGAGCAGAGGAGAAUAUUGGACAAGGGGGGCAAGCCUGGUCCAGCCGUGCCGGGGAAGUGAGGAAGGCCCUAGGGUUGUAAAGCUCUUUCACCGGUGGCGAUAGUGACGGUAACCGGAGAAGAAGCCCCGGCUAACUUCGUG